GCUUAUUUUGCGCAGCUUAGGUGGGAGGCUAUGAACCUCUUCUUCUGGGAAGAGGGGAGCCAUCAGUGAGAUACCACUCUUGGUAAGCUAGAGCGCUCAGUCUUCACCGUCAUCCGGUAAGACGACAGUUUCAGGCGGGCAGUUUGACUGGGGCAGUCACCUCCCAAAAGGUAAUGGAGGUGUGCAAAGGUUCCCUCAGGCUGGACGGAAAUCAGCCAUAGAGUGUAAAAGCAUAAGGGAGCUUGACUGCGAGACUGACAUGUCAAGCAGAGACGAAAGUCGGCUUUAGUGAUCCGACGGUGCUGUGUGGAAAGGCCGUCGCUCAACGGAUAAGAGUUACUCUAGGGAUAACA
rnacentral:rRNA from 1 species